CCAAGCUCAAAACUCUUUACCCCUGAAGAAUUCCAAGCUCAAAACCUUUUACCCCUGAAGAAUUCCAAGCUCAAAACCCUUCACCCCUGAAGAAUUCCAAGCUCAAAACCCUUCACCCCUAAAGAAUUCCAAGCUCAAAACCCUUUACCCCUGAAAAAUUUCAAGCUCAAAACCUUUUACCCCUGAAGAGUUCCAAGCUCAAAACCCUUCACCCCUGAAGAAUUCCAAGCUCUGAAAAAUUUCAAUCUCAAAUCUCUUUACCCCUGAAGAAUUCCAAGCUCAAAACCAUU